UACGUAGGGUGCGAGCGUUGUCCGGAAUUACUGGGCGUAAAGAGCUCGUAGGUGGUUUGUCGCGUUGUCCGUGAAAACUCACAACUCAAUUGUGGCGUGCGGGCGAUACGGGCAGACUGGAGUACUGCAGGGGAGACUGGAAUUCCUGGUGUAGCGGUGAAAUGCGCAGAUAUCAGGAAGAACACCAAUGGCGAAAGCAGCUUUCCUGGGAC
rnacentral:rRNA from 1 species